GGACCCGCACAAGCAGCGGAGCAUGUGGUUUAAUUCGAAGCAACGCGAAGAACCUUACCAGGACUUGACAUCUCCCUGACAGGGCCUUAAACGGCCCGUUCUACGGACAGGGAUGACAGGUGGUGCAUGGUUGUCGUCAGCUCGUGUCGUGAGAUGUUGGGUUAAGUCCCGCAACGAGCGCAACCCUUGUCAUUAGUUGCCAGCAGUAAGAUGGGCACUCUAAUGAGACUGCCGGGGACAACUCGGAGGAAGGUGGGGAUGACGUCAAAUCAUCAUGCCCCUUAUGUUCUGGGCUACACACGUGCUACAAUGGCCGGUACAAAGAGACGCAAGACCGCGAGGUGGAGCAAAACUCAAAAACCGGCCCCAGUUCGGAUUGCAGGCUGCAACUCGCCUGCAUGAAGCCGGAGUUGCUAGUAAUCGUGAAUCAGAAUGUCACGGUGAAUGCGUUCCCGGGUCUU
rnacentral:rRNA from 1 species